AAAUUAAGGUUUAAUUUCACUCGUGUUUUCAAAGUUUCACAAAUUACAUGCAAACUUGGCAAUUUGUGAAACUUUGAAAAUACGCGUGAAAUUAAACCUUAAUUU